rnacentral:snRNA from 1 species
GUCUCUUUGGAGACAUCCGGUAAAAUUGGAAGGACAGAAAAAAGAUUAGCAUGGCUUGACAUGCCCAAAUCGGGAAAUAGUCCAAAUUUUU